rnacentral:lncRNA from 1 species
ACUCACUUUUAACUGAGGACAGGCACUUUGUAUAAGAAUAACCUUGAAAAGUGUGCAGGACCUAAUUGGAAGUAACUAAAAAUUAAAUACAUUUCCUAAAGGUUACUUUGUUUCAUAUGAGUACUAAGAUGCCAAAAAGUUUUACAAAAAUUCAAAUAGAUUUAAUCUAGUUUUACUCUUUUCAUAAGUUUUUCAUUUUAUUUUAUUUAUUUAUUUUUGAGACAGAGUCUUGCUCUGUAGCCCAGGCUGGAGUGCAGUGGUGCGAUCUUAGCUCACUGCAGCCUCUGCCUCCCAGGUUCAAAUGAUUUUCCUGCCUCAGCCUCUCGAGUAGCUGGGACUACAUUGCAUGUGCCAUUAUGCCCAGCUAAUUUUUCUAUUUUUAGUAGAAAUGGGGUCUCACCAUGGUCCUGACCUCAAGCGAUCCACCACCUCGGCCUCCCAAAGUGCUGGGAUUAUAGCCGUUAGCUCUCACACCCAGUCCAACUUACACAUUUUUUUUUUUUAAAGAGAUGGGGUCACACAGUGUUUCCCAGGCUGGUCUCAAACUCCUGGAUUCAAACAAUCUUCCCAUCUCGGCUUGCCAAAGUGUUGGGAUUACAAGCAUGAGCCACUGUGCCCAGCCAAUUCCAUGGACUUUUAAAGCAUUUUUUGGCUCAAAAAGGAUAUGUUCUUAGUUAUCUAACCAGUAUAUCUCUUUAUAUUUACUGAAAAUCUGUUUUCCUAUUUAAGUAUUUUCAGGUUCUCAAUAACUGCACAUGAAAUUAACAGCUUUCAUAGUCACAAAUUAUUGCAAUAUUUUGCUGUUAUACUAAAUAUGGGUUUUUUUUGUUUGUUUUUAAGACAGAGUCUAGCUCUGUUACCCAGGUUGCAGUGAGCUGAGAUUGUGCUGUUGCGCUCCAGCCUGGGCAACAGAGUGAGACUUCAUCUCAAAAAAGAAAAAAAAAGGUGAAAGGAUGACUUAAACCCAGGGUGUCGAGGUUGCAGGGAAAUUCAGAAAUGCCACUGAAGGGCCAGGCAUGGUGUCCAACACCUACAAUCCCAGCACUUUGGGAGGCAGAAGCAGGUGCAUCACCUGAAGUCGGGAGUUCGAGACCAGCGUGGCCAACAUGGUGGAAUGCUGUCUCUACUAAAAAUACAAAAAUUAGCAGGAUGUGGUGGUGCGUGCCUGUAAUCCCAGCUACUUGGGAGGCUGAGACAGAAGAAUCAUUUGAACCCCGGAGGCAGAGGUUGCACUCCGCCUGGGUGACAAGAGUGGAACUCCAUCUUAA